AUAAUUCAUAUCAAAGCCCUCGGAUCAGUAUGAGCUCAACGAAAAAAUUGCACUUGGUACCGUAAUUCGAGUUCCAGACAAAGCGAAAAUCCAGAACAUAAACCAAGAUAAGCCCCACCAAUAUCGACAAGAAUUUGCAUUCAACGUGAACACGUACAUACAUACAUUCUCAAAAUGUACAAACGUAUAUGGUACGUGCAACUAAGCCAAUGCGUAAACAUAGUAGAAACGAUAACCCUCGGCAUCUAAGCAACGUGGCAAAUGUUGCUGGCACGGCUUCUUUGUGGUUGCUACUAAACCAAAAUUAUAGAACGGACGAGUAUAAACCGGGUUAAAAUUUUCUCGGUGAAUAGAAAAAGUACGGAGUUAGAAAACGUUGGCAUAGACCAUGAAGGCUGUGAGAAUAUUUCGUCAUAAAGGAAAUUAUAGCUAAGUAUCUAAUGGUUAAUGAAGUACAAAACAAACUAUAAUUUAUUUAUAAUACGUGCGACAUUAUCAAACGAUAAAUGUCACAUUUCAGUCAAGAGGAAAGCGGAGACGAAAUCCUUAGAAAUUUAUUCUCGUCGUUGGAAACGAUGCAUCUUCUUGACAAUUCUAAGGCACGACACGACAAAGACAGUUCCUCGUGUAUUAGUGUGAGUUUUACGUUCACACGAAUACUCGAAGCUUGUAUGCACGCAACAGGCGGCAUCGCACACAAAUGAACUUCGUAAUGACCGUACAACGUGCGGUAGAGGCGGUUUUCCCCCACCACUUCAAUCGUGACUAAAGUAUGCGUUAGGUCUGUACUUAAAGAUAUAGACACCAUGUAUAUGACACCGUUAGUACGUUAGAAAGCUUAUUAAUAAUUUAACGAAAGAUCUUAAAUAAAAC